rnacentral:misc_RNA from 1 species
UCCGGUUUAACACCGGCAGUCUCUUCAGAGUGCCCAACUUAAUGCUGGCAACUAAAGACAAGGGUUGCGCUCGUUGCGGGACUUAACCCAACAUCUUACGACACGAGCUGACGACAGCCAUGCAGCACCUAUCUCACUGUCUCCGAAGAGAACACCACAUCUCUGUGGUUGUCAGUGGAUGUUAAGCCCAGGUAAGGUUCUGCGCGUUGCUUCGAAUUAAACCACAUACUCCACCGCUUGUGCGGGCCCCCGUCAAUUCCUUUGAGUUUUAGUCUUGCGACCGUACUCCCCAGGCGGGAUACUUAAUGCGUGAGCUUCGGUACCCAGGAGGUUAACAUCCCGGACACCUAGUAUCCAUAGUUUACGGCGUGGACUAC